CGACGAUGGAGGUGCUGGAGUGCAAGCGUCCAGUGACCAUCAUACUGGACGACCCCGCGGGCAACUCCUACGUGCAGAGCCUCUCGGACGACGGCCAGCCCGACGAAGGCCUCAAGAUCGUCCACUACGAGCGGUCGCACGAGCAGAAUGAUGAGCUCGGCCUCAACGACAUGAAGACGGAGGGAUACGAGAACAGCUAGACAUGUUGCUUAUCAAUAAAAAUGUAUAUUUCAAUGUAUC